AUGACAGCUGGAGCACGAGGCAGGUCCCAAGUCCACAGCCUUGUGGGGAGUCUGGGGGCACUGCCCAGCUCAGCCAGGGAGAGGGGGAAGAAGGGGAGCCCAGGGCUUCCUGGAGACUGCCAGGCGGCCACCCCUCCACACCCUCUGGCCUGGCAAGUCCACCCAGGACCAGCUCCAGCCUUGCAAACCUCCUGGCACCCACCCACAAGCCCCAACACAAGCUCCAACACCACAACCUUCCCAGCAACUGCAUUUUGUGGAGCUGGAAACAGGAUCAGCCUGGGGAGCCAGCAUGCAGACAGGAGCCUGGAACCUUCCCUAGGAUGGCCUCCUGGUUCCUGUUGGGAAAGGAAGGCUGGAGAGAAGAGCCCCGGAGAGGAAGGAGCAGCAAGGGUCUGCAUCUGCGGAAAACUGCCCAGCCACCACUCUACCCAGAGCCCGAGCCAGAGCAUCGCUGAAUCUGUGCCCAGCAGCCGGUGCCUGCAGCAGUGUGCUGACUCGGGAAGGCUUUCUCCAGCGGGACACGCAAGCCUCUGGUCCUGCCGCAGCAGCACCUCCAGGCUAACGUGCGGGGCCGGGAGCGAACUGUCUGGUCAAGUAUGUCGGGGACACACCAAACUGGAAAAAACGGCAAAAAAUUAAAAUUCAGGAGGUUCUUUGACUUGGGGCUUCUCAGAUCCGCAGAGCAGGCUGCCCAGGUAAGCUCGGGCUCUCCAAGGGAGGCGCAGGUGUGCGUGCAGCGAUAAUUCGCAGGAUGCUUCUUGGACGGGAUGCAGAAGGUCAAGGGGCCCCCCGUCCCCCGGGGACGCCGCGCUGCGGCUGUGGCUCUCCGCACGCUGCAUCGCGCCACCGCGGCUGUGGGCAGCCCCGUUCUCCCCUGUCCCGGCAGCAGCACAGCCCGGGCCGGGCGGCUCCACGACACGUGGACAACAGCACAGAGGGGCUUCCGGGGCGCGCCGGGUCGGGUCAGCCCAGGAGCUGCGGCUGGGGAGCCUGGGCCUCCCGCCAGCAGGAGGGAAUACCGAGGCGAAACCACGCCGUCCGUCCCAACCCAGCACCGUCUUCAGAGCGGCUCCCCGCGGCCAGGGCCUCACGCCCCGCGCCCACAACCUGCUUCUCCC
rnacentral:lncRNA from 1 species